rnacentral:rRNA from 1 species
UACGUAGGGACCAAGCGUUGUCCGGAAUUAUUGGGCGUAAAGAGCCCGUAGGCGGCCGUUCACGUCAGAUGUGAAAGCCCCGGGCUCAACCUGGGAAUUGCAUUUGAGACUGCAUAGCUAGGGUGCGGAAGAGGGAAGCGGAAUUUCCGGUGUAGCGGUGAAAUGCGUAGAUAUCGGAAGGAACACCAGUGGCGAAAGCGGCUUCCUGGUCCAGCACCGACGUCAGGCACGAAAGCGUGGGGAGCAAACAGG